rnacentral:rRNA from 1 species
GUGGGGAAUAUUGGACAAUGGGCGAAAGCCUGAUCCAGCAAUGCCGCGUGAGUGAUGAAGGCCCUAGGGUUGUAAAGCUCUUUUACCAGGGAUGAUAAUGACAGUACCUGGAGAAUAAGCUCCGGCUAACUCCGUGCCAGCAGCCGCGGUAAUACGGAGGGAGCUAGCGUUGUUCGGAAUUACUGGGCGUAAAGCGCGCGUAGGCGGGUUUUUAAGUCAGAGGUGAAAGCCCGGGGCUCAACCCCGGAAUUGCCUUUGAAACUGGAAAACUUGAAUCUUGGAGAGGUCAGUGGAAUUCCGAGUGUAGAGGUGAAAUUCGUAGAUAUUCGGAAGAACACCAGUGGCGAAGGCGACUGACUGGACAAGUAUUGACGCUGAGGUGCGAAAGCGUGGGGAGCAAACAGGAUUAGAUACCCGAGUAGUCC